rnacentral:rRNA from 1 species
AGUGAACGCUGGCGGCGUGCUUAACACAUGCAAGUCGAACGAGAACGGGUUAUAGCUUGCUAUAAUUGUCAGCUAAGUGGCGCACGGGUGAGUAAUGUAUAGGUAAUAUGCCUCUUACUAAGGGAUGACAACUGGAAACGUUUGCUAAUACCUUAUACUCCUUAUUAACAUAAGUUAAUAAGGGAAAGAUUUAUUGGUAAGAGAUUAGCCUGUAUUGUAUCAGUUAGUUGGUGGGGUAAUGGCUUACCAAGACUAUGACACGUAACUGGUUUGAGAGGAUGAUCAGUCACACUGGAACUGAGACACGGUCCAGACUCCUACGGGAGGCAGCAGUGGGGAAUAUUGCACAAUGGACGGAAGUCUGAUGCAGCAACGCCGCGUGGAGGAUGACACAUUUCGGUGCGUAAACUCCUUUUAUAUGAGAAGAUAAUGACGGUAUUAUAUGAAUAAGCACCGGCUAACUCCGUGCCAGCAGCCGCUGUAACAC